UACGGAGGGGGCUAGCGUUGUUCGGAAUUACUGGGCGUAAAGCGCACGUAGGCGGCUUUGUAAGUUAAAGGUGAAAGCCCGGGGCUCAACUCCGGAAUUGCCUUUAAGACUGCAUCGCUAGAAUUGUGGAGAGGUAAGUGGAAUUCCGAGUGUAGAGGUGGAAUUCGUAGAUAUUCGGAAGAACACCAGUGGCGAAGGCGACUUACUGGACACAUAUUGACGCUGAGGUACGAAAGCGUGGGGAGCAAACAGG
rnacentral:rRNA from 1 species